GUGCCAGCCGCCGCGGUAAGACGGAAGGUGCAAGCGUUGCUCGGAAUCACUGGGCGUAAAGGGUGCGUAGGCGGCUGUGUAAGUCUGGCGUGAAAGCCCAGGGCUCAGCCCUGGAAGUGCGCUAGAAACUGCGCGGCUGGAGUGCCGGAGGGGAGAGUGGAAUUCCUGGUGUAGCGGUGAAAUGCGUAGAUAUCAGGAGGAAUACCGGUGGCGAAAGCGACUCUCUGGACGGCAACUGACGCUGAGGCACGAAAGCGUGGGGAGCAAACAGGAUUAGAAACCCGCGUAGUCC
rnacentral:rRNA from 1 species